rnacentral:lncRNA from 1 species
AUUUCAACUGGAGGUGAACGGAUAGAAGAUGUACAAAAUUAUUUCAGGUUGCAUAUAAACCAAUAUAGUACAAUUGAUGAAAUUGUAUGCCUCUCAUCUCAGGUAAUAGAUAAAGAUAAUUUAAAAUGUUUAUUUGGUGUCCAUACAAGUUACCUUGGUAAUUUAACAGAAAGAUUUGAGAACGGUCUUAUUACUGAUUUGUAUAGUUAUUUUAGACAAUCGUGGUGUUUGCCGAUAUACCAUGAUCGCUUCACCGAUUUUCGAUGUGAGAUCCGAGAUAUUUUUAAAAUA